rnacentral:rRNA from 1 species
GACGAACGCUGGCGGCGUGCUUAACACAUGCAAGUCGAACGGAAAGGCCCUGCUUUUGUGGGGUGCUCGAUUGGCGAACGGGUGAGUAACACGUGAGUAACCUGCCCUUGACUUUGGGAUAACUUCAGGAAACUGGGGCUAAUACCGGAUAGGAGCUCCUGCUGCAUGGUGGGGGUUGGAAAGUUUCGGCGGUUGGGGAUGGACUCGCGGCUUAUCAGCUUGUUGGUGGGGUAGUGGCUUACCAAGGCUUUGACGGGUAGCCGGCCUGAGAGGGUGACCGGCCACAUUGGGACUGAGAUACGGACCAGACUCCUACGGGAGGCAGCAGUGGGGAAUAUUGCAGAAUGGGCGGAAGCCUGAUGCAGCAACGCCGCGUGCGGGAUGACGGCCUUCGGGUUGUAAACCGCUUUCGCCUGUGACGAAGCGUGAGUGACGGUAAUGGGUAAAGAAGCCCCGGCUAACUACGUG